CCAGUACAGAAAAUAUAAAGCCAUUUUAUUUUGAAAGUGCAAUUAUUUUGUAAAAGGAAAUAGUUGUUGUUUUACGCUUGACUUCCUCCUGUGAGUUCACAUGUGAGGAUAAUAGUAUUUUAAUUGGUCCGAUUAACAUGAUCCCGCCCUCUCGAGACAUCGUCUCGAAGGUUCUUUAUUUUACGUUCUUUUCCGCUUGGAUGCCAAAGAGGAAGGACGUAGUGAACUUCCUCAGCGCUUGGAGCCAAUAAGUCAGCCUUCUAGAAAUAAAAUAAUUGACUCAACGCUGAAAUAAGGCCGUUUGAACAAAUAAUAAGAAGGAAAUUACAUUUCCUCGUGUAUGUGAACCGGAGGAUUGGAGCCUGCAUCCACUCAAGUUCACAUUAAAAGAAAAACUUCGUCUUGGCUGGGUUUUUUGUUUCCUCCUUUCAUUCCAUUCAUUGGACGUGGAUGAAGAAUUCGAAACUGGAUAAAGACACUGGAUAAAGACUUUUCCAACAGAUGAAGAUGGCGAGCUAAUGCCCGGAAACCAACUGAAUUGAAUUUAGACGGACUGUCUGGUUUGAAUUUUUGUUAUUUUAUUGUAUAUAUUUGUGUAUAUAUCGCCGGCUUAAAUUGUAAAUAGUUUUUGUAUUAAUACAAUUAUUUUGUUACUCAUCUCGACUCCAGUUAUUUCAGUUACUAAACAUUAUUUUCCUUAUUGUAAUCUCCGAGAACCUAGUUUUCUGCCCAAAUACAAUUGCAUUAAUAACAGAACCCCGUCAUCUCGAACCGGGGGUUACAUUAUUCAAUUGGCUACUGGUUAUUUCAUAUCUCAUCAGCAUUCUUCACAAAACACGCACACACGGUACAUAUUAUCGAUACGUAAAAGUAAGAAAAUAACAUGCAUUUGCUCUACACACUCAAUGUGUUGGCCGUCGUAAUUCUAUAAUUCAUGCAACAUAAAUGAGAGUAAAGAGUGGUGUACAAAACCACAGAAUUCAAUUCUGACCUUUAGUGAAAUAUUCAGUUGUUUUUAAAACUUUUAAUUCUGAUACUUUAAUCAAUUUAUUACAGAUUGCUAAACAAAA